rnacentral:rRNA from 1 species
GUCUAUGGCCCUGCCACCCUGAACAAGCCCGAUGUCUGAUCUUGGAAGCUAAGCAGGGUCGGGCCUGGUUAGUACUUGGAUGGGAGACCAUCUAGGAAGACCAGGUGCUGUAGGCA